rnacentral:piRNA from 1 species
UUGAAUGGUAUUGCCUAGGUUUUCUUCUA